UUUUGGUCCGACUUUACCAGAAUCUGAUGAGAAUUUCUGAUGAGAACUCUCUCUCUCUCUCUGGAUGGAAAAAAAAAGAUUACCAGUAAUUUAAGAAUGUAGACUUAGCCUCUUUUUGCAGAGGGAAUAUGCUCUUCUAUUGAUAUUUGUCAGUUUCAUAUUAUUGUGCGUGUAGGCCGGAGGAGGAGGAGGAGGAGGAGGAGGGAUCCCUCU